rnacentral:rRNA from 1 species
UACGGAGGAUGCAAGCGUUAUCCGGAAUGAUUGGGCGUAAAGCGUCCGCAGGUGGCUGUUCAAGUCUGCUGUCAAAGCCCGGGGCUUAACUUCGGAAAGGCAGUGGAAACUGAACAGCUAGAGUAUGGUAGGGGCAGAGGGAAUUCCUGGUGUAGCGGUGAAAUGCGUAGAUAUCAGGAAGAACAUCGGUGGCGAAGGCGCUCUGCUGGACCAUAACUGACACUCAGGGACGAAAGCGAGGGGAGCGAAUGGG